UACGUAGGUCCCGAGCGUUGUCCGGAUUUAUUGGGCGUAAAGCGAGCGCAGGUGGUUUAUUAAGUCUGGUGUAAAAGGCAGUGGCUCAACCUCGUCGAGCCGUUGAAACUGGGUGCCUUGAGUGGGCGAGAAGUACGCGGAAUGCGUGGUGUAGCGGUGAAAUGCAUAGAUAUCACGCAGAACUCCGAUUGCGAAGGCAGCGUACCGGCGCCCAACUGACGCUGAAGCACGAAGGCGUGGGUAUCGAACAGG
rnacentral:rRNA from 1 species